UUGCUAUCUUUGCCGGCGAGCGGCGCCACGGGUGAGUAAUGCCUAGGGAUCUGCCCAGUCGAGGGGGAUAACAGUUGGAAACGACUGCUAAUACCGCAUACGCCCUACGGGGGAAAGGAGGGGACCUUCGGGCCUUCCGCGAUUGGAUGACC
rnacentral:rRNA from 1 species